UCUCUAUUUCUAAAAGUCAAAGACUGUGUGAUUCUAAGACUCCACCCCUAUAGCUUAGAGAGUUAAUUUUUCUAUAAUUUCAUAAUUCCUACAUGCUAGAAUUAAAAGGUUCUAUGAUCUCACAUUUCAUUUUAUUAUAGAAUCCACCCACAGAGCCAGAAGCAGGCUUCCCCGCAUCCCCUUUGGUUAUGUUUGGGAAUCACUGCGGCUUUCCUUGCCUUCUGGCUGUUGCCGCUGUUGCCCUCUAGAUGGCGCCCAGCCUUCUGAGCAAUAGUGCAGGACACCGGCCCGGAGACUGCACAGCUCCAGAGAGCUUCGAGGGCCAAGUCUGCAGUUUGGUUGCUUCCUCCUGAAAUCAACGUGGGAGUCUUAAAAGCACGGGGAGAAUAGUCUACUCAGCAGGGAGCAUUUCGGGAUGAUGCAGCCAUUCAUAGGAAGCAUGGAGAGGCUUGAACUGGACCAUGUGGUGCUGGAGAGGCCAUUGCACUGACUGGCAAGAGAAGACCUGCUUCACCGUGGUCCACACAGUAAUUUCCCUGGCUUCACUCAAGGCUAACUGUCCUCCAGCAAAACACCCCUCUUUUCCUCUCACAGAUGAAGCAGAUGAGUAAAACUGAGGCUCCGUAAGGUACUCAUCCGAAAUCAGGCAGAAGGUAAGUGACAGAUCUAAAAGUCAUACCCAUGUUUGCCUGUCCCCAAAGCCCACAUUUUUACAAGUUGUUACAUGUUCUCUUAACUUCAAAAUGCAACAUAUUCUAGACAUAGAAUGUGUUAUAGACAGAAUUAUCUUCCCCUCAAAUUCACUCCUCAAGGUGAUUGUAUUUGGAGAUAGGGCAGUUAAAGAUGCAAUACAGUUGAAAUGAGGCUGCUAGAGUGGGCCAUAAUCCUAUCUGACUGAUGUUCUUAUAAGAAGAGGAAGAGGUACCUGAGGUGCUCGGGCAAAAGACAAAAGGCCAUGUGAAGACACAGGGAAAAGGUGGACAUCUACCCGCCAGGGAGAAAGGUCUCAGAAGAAACCAAGGCUGCUGACACUUCCAGCCUCAGAACUUCCAGCCUCAGAACUAUGAGAAAAUAUUUUCAGUUUAAACCACCCAGUCUAUGGUAUUUUGUCAUGGUAGUACUUGCCAACUAACACAGAA
rnacentral:lncRNA from 1 species